rnacentral:rRNA from 1 species
AACCGGAUUAGAUACCCUGGUAGUCCACGCCCUAAACGAUGUCUACUAGUUGUCGGGUCUUAAUUGACUUGGUAACGCAGCUAACGCGUGAAGUAGACCGCCUGGGGAGUACGGUCGCAAGAUUAAAACUCAAAGGAAUUGACGGGGACCCGCACAAGCGGUGGAUGAUGUGGAUUAAUUCGAUGCAACGCGAAAAACCUUACCUACCCUUGACAUGUACAGAAUCCCGAAGAGAUUUGGGAGUGUUCGAAAGAAAACUGUAACACAGGUGCUGCAUGGCUGUCGUCAGCUCGUGUCGUGAGAUGUUGGGUUAAGUCCCGCAACGAGCGCAACCCUUGUCAUUAGUUGCUACGAAAGGGCACUCUAAUGAGACUGCCGGUGACAAACCGGAGGAAGGUGGGGAUGACGUCAAGUCCUCAUGGCCCUUAUGGGUAGGGCUUCACACGUCAUACAAUGGUACAUACAGAGGGCCGCCAACCCGCGAGGGGGAGCUAAUCCCAGAAAGUGUAUCGUAGUCCGGAUUGUAGUCUGCAACUCGACUACAUGAAGUUGGAAUCGCUAGUAAUCGCGGAUCAGCAUGUCGCGGUGAAUACGUUCCCGGGUCUUGUACACACCGCCCGUCACACCAUGGGAGCGGGUUUUACCAGAAGUAGGUAGCCUAACCGUAAGGAGGGCGCUUACCACGGUAGGAUUCGUGACUGGGGUGAAGUCGUAACAAGGUAACCG